GUGGUUUACGUCUUUUUUAAAAUACAAAAUUUAUUACAUAGUAAAACUAAGAAUGAUAAUUUGUUGUUUUACAUGGUAUAAAGUUAUCGAUGCAAUAAUUAUAUAUAAUUUAUAAUAAGAUUAAUAAUGUAAAGAAUGAACAUACAUAUACAGAGUCCAUUAACUUCAAGUUUGCGGGUUAGUUUAAACAAUUGGGCCUGUAUCCCUUUAAUGGGCCGAGCCUACUAGGUAGAGGUUCUUCGCGGAAUAACCAAUGGCGAAUACAUACAUACACGCGGUCUCUGCUCUCUAACAGACACCAGCGACUGAGCUAGAGAAAUGAGUGUUCAAAUCUGUAACUUCCCGUUGAAUCCGCGCUUCGCGCUGCGACCCCGCUCCCAAACCGCCGCGAGGUCUACACGAAUCUUCGCUCGUGCGGAGAAUGAAUCGUCACGGUCUGAUCAGCAACAGCUCAAUCUCUCCGUCCUUCGCUUCACUUUCGGGAUUCCUGGGCUAGACGAAUCUUAUCUACCGAGGUGGAUCGGGUACGGGUUCGGAUCGCUUAUUCUUCUCAAUCACUUCUCAGCUUCACCUCCAAUCAGCGAAUCUCAGCUGAGAUCAGAGGCUUUAGGGUUAUCACUUGCUGCAUUCUCCGUAGCUUUACCUUACUUUGGCAAGUUCCUCAAGGGUUCUGAAGUAGAGAAGAGAAGCUUACCUGAAGAGGGAGAACAGGUUUUUGUGAUAUCAUCAAGCAUUGGAGACUCUUUGAAAGAGGAUUUGGCUUGGUCAACUUAUGUCUUGUUGAGGAAUACAAGUACCGUUGCUGUGAUGAUAUCGAUUCAAGGUGAGCUUUGUGUUCGCGGGUACUGGAAUUGCCCUGGUCAAAUGUUAAAGGCUCAACUACAUGACUGGUUCAAGAGAAAGGUUGAUGAAAUAGGCCUGGCUGAUGUUAAGGAGACCCUUUAUUUCCCUCAAUAUGCAGGUUCUGCAUUGUCGUGGGAUAUUCUUCCUGAUGGGACGCGUUCUGUUUUUGUGCAACCUCUCGUUCAAAAUACAGAUGAAUCGGAGAAAAUGGAUGGGUUUUUGCUGGUGGCUUCUACUGCUGGAUAUGCAUAUAGCGAUAAAGAUAGAGCCUGGAUUGGAGCCAUGGCUGAUAAAUUCAGAGGAUGACAUGACCUAUUCAUUAUAAUAUAACAUUUGACUCAUAUCUUGAUUGAUGAUUGGCGAAACACUUCAUUUCCUACAAGAAUUUCUCGAGGCCAUAAACCAGAUUCUGUAAAACCAAAAGAGAACAAGGACAAGUGAUCAGAUAAAUAGUAAGUAAAAACAUCAGUUGAUGGAGAAUUCUCGCAUGUUUCCUUGUUACCUUGAGGCGUACGACCUUUCUGAUAGCGAGAAGUAGUCCAGGCAUUAGGGACCUUACGUCAACUAUGUCGUGUUUAACAGUGUAAACCUGUGUCCAACAGGUUGUGUUAGAGAACAUAAUUUUCAGUUUGGUUUUUAAAUAGAUGACUGUAAUGAUAGUUACAUCUCCUGGACUUGAGAAGUAGACUUGUGUGCUAGAUGGUAGUCCAGGUAGAACCAUACUGUGAACACGAACCCCAUCUUCUCCGAUUACUUGACCUCUUGCCUGGAAACAUCAGGAAACAGAGCUUUGUUUUUGUAUAAAUAUACAUGAUCCAAAGUCCUAACUAGCCCAUCUUUUUUAAUCUUUCUGGCAUUUUUCAGCUUGCUCAUGCCUUUACCUGAACAUCAGUUGAACUAUCUUCUCUGUUGUAGAUCUGACCAAGAUUUGAUAUGUUGUUCGCAAUUUGGGUAGCUUCUGGAGAAGGAAGAUCCUGCAUUUCAUAGUGGAAGGAAGCCAUGAUCACAGCCUGUUGGAGAAGUAUAGAUCCUAUGGAUAGUGUUGGUGCUACAAGGCACCCCUAUAAUGCAAACAAUGGAGAAAUUAGAUAAAUCUGGAACAUUUAUGGUCGCUCCAGGACAAGCUCGACUUCACCAAGAAAAAACAACAAAACGAAUUUGCUGAGAGUAUCUCACCCUGUGCUCACCAUGGUGGCCUUGUCACAUAGUGCAGAUAACGCUGAUACUGUCUCUGGCUUAAUCCGAGGUACAUACACAACACUCUUCAUCCCAAAUGCCGUUGCCUUGAUAAGAUCAAAGAUCAUUAACACUCUUGAUGGUUUGACUUUUCCAACUUGGUAAAUAAAAAAAAAGUUUUUUUAUUAAAUACCUGUUUUACAUUCUCAUACACUGUUGAUGGGUCUGUAAAGUCGAUCACAACUCCCACUUCUUUUCCCUACCAACAAUAUUUUUCGUUUAGGUUGUUCCGUAGAUGUCACUCUGGUGGGAAACAAGAGAGAGAGUUUGGAUAUAAUGGAACCUGAGAUAUCGAGCCUAAGACCAUUGUUAGAUCACUCACUACUGGUAUUUCUAGAGGCUCCUCCAUGUCACAGAGCUAAAAGAACAUUAUAGUUUAGGGUGUCAUGUUAAUAGAUAAACCAACCAGGUGGAAGUAAAAUGUAAGUUAAGUCACCAAGCCAAUAUCUUCGCCAAGAAAAUGGUUGUCGACAGCACCAGCCAACUCCAUUCCCCUGGCUUUAGUCACAGCAACCACAGCCGCUCUUCCUAUCUCCUUUGCAGCUCCGUUUAUGAUUACCUGAUAUGGAAAUUUGUUGCAAUUCAUCACAAGCUGCAUUGUAUGGAAACUCCUGAUGAAGAUGAUGAUGUUACCUUUAUGUUGUUUUGGGAAGGUUGAGAGGCGGAGCAGGAAAAAGAAGGCCUUGAGGGGUUGAGACGUCCUGAAUGUGAUAGCUUGAAGAAGCAGCAGCUCACAGCUGCCAUUGCUCUAACCUCUUAUGAUAACUUUUUCUUUUCUUGUGGUUUCCUUUGCCUUUGAUGUUGAUAAGAGUUUUUGCACUUGUUGCCAGAGCUUUUAAAACGAUGUAGUUUUUGAGGCUUUCUGGAUGGAUAAGAUUUUGCCUCUUCUGAUUGCAAUCACUCUGGCUCUUAAUUUAUUUCUUAACAAAGUGAAUUUUUUUUUUAAGUUGUGAUAAUAAAGAUAAUUUCUUUCGAAAA